rnacentral:rRNA from 1 species
UGGGGAAUAUUGGACAAUGGGCGCAAGCCUGAUCCAGCCAUGCCGCGUGAGUGAUGAAGGCCCUAGGGUUGUAAAGCUCUUUCACCGGUGAAGAUAAUGACGGUAACCGGAGAAGAAGCCCCGGCUAACUUCGUGCCAGCAGCCGCGGUAAUACGAAGGGGGCUAGCGUUGUUCGGAUUUACUGGGCGUAAAGCGCACGUAGGCGGACUUUUAAGUCAGGGGUGAAAUCCCGGGGCUCAACCCCGGAACUGCCUUUGAUACUGGAAGUCUUGAGUAUGGGAGAGGUGAGUGGAAUUCCGGGUGUAGAGGUGAAAUUCGUAGAUAUUCGGAGGAACACCAGUGGCGAAGGCGGCCCACUGGACCAUUACUGACGCUGAGGUGCGAAAGCGUGGGGAGCAAACAGG